GCGGAUGUAGUUUAGUGGCAGAACGGUUGCUUCCCAAGCAACAGGUCGGGGUUCGAUUCCCCGUAUCCGCA
rnacentral:tRNA from 1 species